AAAGAAACGAACUGCAAAGACCCUAGAACUCUCUAGUCCACCAAAGAAGUUGCCGGAAAAAGAAACUUUCGGUGUUAACUCGGGCACUUGAGAGGUAGAAGCAGGAGGAUCGGGUUCAAUGCCAGCCUGGGUUACACGGGUCAGUUUUUUAGGCCAGCCUGGGCUACACCAGACCGAAACAAAACCCCAAAGAAAAAGGAAGAAGAAACAUUUGGUAGAAGAAAAAGUUAUACUGAGAUUCAAACCUUCCCCCUAGUACCAGCCGAUCUUUCUCCAAUUGGUUCCUGCACGUGGCUUGUCCGGUCCCGUGAGCUGGCCCCUCCUCAGCCUUGACCCCAGCACCUCUGGCCACUUCUCUUCCCGGGUCCCUAGACCCUGCACUAUUCCAUGGGAUUGGGGAACUGUUUUCUCCCUCACUUCUGGCAGGUCGGAUUCUUUAAAUUUCUUAACUCAGCUCGCCCAGGGAACGCCUUCCUUGGUCCUGGUACCGGCACCCUGCUGCACACUCUGGACACAUCCACGACGAAUCAAAUCUACCCUGCGUCUGCCUAGGAGAAAGUUACUCAAAUUGUAUUCAUCUUUCAUUCCGAUCGCUCAACGAGGGCACGUCCCUCGUUGGCUGCUGCGUGAGCAAAGCAACUAUUUUCCAGCGAGUGUCCUCAGGUGACCUGUCUAGACGCUCAGAGGGAAAAACAAGAGAAUCUGACACUCUUCCGAGCCCCGAAGACGCCUCGUGACGCGCAGGCCCCGCUGCGUGGAAGGGCGUGCGUGCGGAGCGCGCAGCGGCGGGGCCGAGCG
rnacentral:lncRNA from 14 species